rnacentral:rRNA from 1 species
UACGGGGGGGGCAAGCGUUGUUCGGAAUUACUGGGCGUAAAGGGCUCGUAGGCGGCCAACUAAGUCGGACGUGAAAUCCCUCGGCUUAACCGGGGAACUGCGUCCGAUACUGGAUGGCUUGAGGUUGGGAGAGGGAUGCGGAAUUCCAGGUGUAGCGGUGAAAUGCGUAGAGAUCGUAAGGAAGACCAGUGGCGAAGGCGGGUCUCUGGACAGUUCCUGACACUGAGGCACGAAGGCCAGGGGAGCAAACGGG